rnacentral:rRNA from 1 species
CCCUAUGCUGGAUAAUAACCUCGGGAAACUGAGAAUAAUGAUCCAUAGUUCACUACGCCUGGAACGGUGAGUGGAUGAAAGCUCCGGCGGCAUAGGAUGGGCCUGCGGCGUAUCAGGUUGUAGGGGGUGUAACGUACCCUCUAGCCCUCUACGCGUACGGGUGUUGGGAGACAUAGCCCGGAGAUGGAUUCUGAGACACGAAUCCAGACCCUACGGGGUGCAGCAGGCGCGAAAACUUGGCAAUGCGAGAAAUCGUGACCAGGGAACUCCAAGUGCAUCGGGUAAGACCGGUGCUUUUCUUGACUCUAAAUAGGUCUUGGAAUAAGGGGUGGGUAAGGACGGUGCCAGCCGCCGCGGUAAUACCGGCGCCUCAAGUGGUAGUCGCUUUUAUUGGGCCUAAAACGUCCGUAGCCGGUCUGAUACAUUCGUGGGUAAAUCAACCAGCUCAACUGGUUGAAUUCUGCGAGGACGGUCAGACUUGGGACCGGGAGAGGUGUGGGGUACGCUCAGGGUAGGGGUAAAAUCCUGUCAUCCUGAGCGGACCACCUGUUGCGAAGGC